UUUACUAUAUAUCUAUAUAUCUAAUUAUUUAUUUAUCUUUUCUGUUUCUCUUUUUCUCGUUCUCUCGUUCUCUCCCUCUUUCUCUCUUUCUCUCUCUCUCUCUCUCUCUCUCUCUCUCUUUCUGAUACAUACACAAAGAUUACAAAUACAGAGAGACGCGAAAAGGACACGGAUAUACUGAUAUACGUAAGACGUAACACGGCCCAACAUAUAAACACGCGUAUCUUUCUUUACGUUCUCAUUCAUUGCGCCGAAGUUAAAACGGAGCUUCGCAGGUGUCAAGUAUCAUGCGACUCACGUAGAAACGGAAAGAUAAAGAAAGAGAAAGAGGAAAAGGAUAAAGUGAAAAGGGGAUAGAGAGAGAGAGAGAGAGAGACAUAGACAGAGUGAUUAAAAAGACAGAAACAGAUAUACAUAUAUAUAUAUGUAUGUAUGUAUAUAUGUGCGUGUAAACAAAAAUCGGUGCGUACGAAUUUUGUGAAUUAAAGAGACUGAGAGACUGAAAAGAGUGGACAUAGAGAGAAAAAGUUUUGUGUGUGUGCGCGCUCAUAUAUAUAUAUAUAUAUAUAUAUAUAUAUACAUAUAUAUAUGCGUGUACGCACGCGUGUUCUGUGUACGCACUUUCGCGCGAUAAAGAGGGUCAAGUGGUUAGUGCUAUUAUUGUGAUAGUGUCAACCUCUCUCUCUCAAGUGCUGGAUCCCCGAUGGUGAAUUCGUGCUGUUCAUGGUGGUGUGUGACGAUGGUUUUGGUAGAAAGGAAAGAAACAAAAAGGAAAAGGAAAGUAUAGGAAAGUACAGUGACAACAACGACAAUAACAACGAUGAAAAAUAAAGGAAAUAAAAGAAGAACUUCAAAUUCAUAAAAGUGGAAUUCGUAAAGGUGACUCGCUGUGUAAAGUAAAAAAAAAAAAAAAAAAAAAA